rnacentral:sRNA from 1 species
UGACAUUUUGUUUGUAGGCGCUCAAAAGUACGAAACUAUAUUUGUGUUUUUGCGGUUUCCCUUUGUAUUUGUGCACUGCACACAUCAACACACCAACACACACACACAUACACUGGAACACUGACAGACUGCCAUUGAGUAGAGUCAAAUGCAUGUGCAGAACAUUCCACAUCAUGUCAAGCGGAAAGGAGCUCCCUCUCCAGAUUCGUUUUAUGAAGGUUUAACAACUUUUUGAUACAAAUUUGGCUGCCUUUCUUUUCGCCUGCAUGCCUGUGCCAGCCUGCAUCUGCGAGUUUUCGUUGAUUUUUGUAGUCCAAGGACACUGCAUUGUGGGCGUACAUUUUUUGGCAGAUGUGAGAGUUUGAGGGGCUGUAAAACCUCGCAUUUUAUUGGUAAAGACAUUGAAAUUUGUGAUCAGUCAAAUAGACAGUGCCCGAACGAAACCUAGCUGCUAGAUUCAUGAUUGUUUGACACUCUGGAAUAUUUAGUGCGACACUCGACUUGUAAAACAUCAAACCGAAAAACAUGAUUAAAAGAAUUCCAAAUUCUACGUUUGUGUAGUAUUGUUGGCUUUCGUCAGACAUACAUACAUAGGUUAAGAAUAAAGUGUAUUUUUAAUAUCUAACGUACGAGUAAGCAGAUUAUACACGAUAUUCAAGACAGGAAAAUAUAAUUAAUGUGGAUCUAUUCAACCUGUCAGCGCCCUUUACUAUAGAGCAGGUUGGGAAAUCAAUUCAGACUUAAAUCAAAACAAUAUUUAGAUCAUCUCGCAUCUAUGUAACAAAGUAUGUUUUGAUACGAAGAGUUUUAGCACAACUGAUUGAAAGUGCCACGAAGAAAAGAAGAGAUGUGUGUAUAUCUGCUUAUGGAAAAUAAUCUCAGCCUACAAUAGUGGGCGAAGAAGGAAUUGUCAUAGUCUCAAACCUUGGACAACGUACACAUCAUGCAACUAGUCAUAGUGUCCGUUUAAAUAUAACGCGCCAUUUGAAGCCGAAGUUGUUAAUCAACCCGGCUUCUAUACUAUUUUAAGCUAUGUAUAAGAUCUUUUUCGUUCGUGAUUAGACAAUUGAACCAGAUAAGCGCUGUGCACUGAACGUGAAAUGAUAAAACGAUUUUAAAAUCUUCUGCAUGGCAUAUUGAAUUAGUCAGAUUGUUCAAAACCGCAUUGGAUACAAUGCAUUCCGAUGACCAGAGCAGACAAAAGACCCGAUCCAUGGAGGCCAUGGAAGACAAUUCCAUUCUCCAACUAUCAAUGAAAUCCCAGUAGUAUUUGUUGACGAGAAUGUGAAAUCUCGCGAUAUUGUUCUCAGGUGCCUCGAGAUGGUGGACAAUUGAAACGCGUGUACGAGAUUCUUCGGUUGUAUCGUGUUGUGGAGAGGAUGGAUAUCACUUCAAUAUAAAGAUGGUCAAUCCAACGGCAGCUCUGGAGUUGUUGCUCUGAAUUGCUGCGAAAGAAUUAAAAGAUUGCCUUAAGCAAAUCUA